GGGCUUGUGGCUCAGCGGUGGAGCACUUGCCUGGCACGUGUGAGGCCCUGGGUCCAAUUCUCAGCACCACCU
rfam:Ictidomys tridecemlineatus contig028471, whole genome shotgun sequence.